GACGAACGCUGGCGGCGUGCUUAACACAUGCAAGUCGAACGAUGAACCCGGAGCUUGCUCCGGCGGAUUAGUGGCGAACGGGUGAGUAACACGUGAGUAACCUGCCCUUGACUCUGGGAUAACUGCGGGAAACUGUAGCUAAUACCGGAUACGACCCUCGGCGGCAUCGCCAGGGGGUGGAAAGAAUUUCGGUCAAGGAUGGACUCGCGGCCUAUCAGCUAGUUGGUGAGGUAACGGCUCACCAAGGCGACGACGGGUAGCCGGCCUGAGAGGGUGACCGGCCACACUGGGACUGAGACACGGCCCAGACUCCUACGGGAGGCAGCAGUGGGGAAUAUUGCACAAUGGGCGCAAGCCUGAUGCAGCAACGCCGCGUGAGGGAUGACGGCCUUCGGGUUGUAAACCUCUUUUAGUAGGGAAGAAGCGAAAGUGGCGGUACCUGCAGAAAAAGCACCGGCUAACUACGUGCCAGCCGCCGCCGUAAGAC
rnacentral:rRNA from 1 species